rnacentral:rRNA from 1 species
AUUGAACGCUGGCGGCAUGCUUUACACAUGCAAGUCGAACGGUAACAGGUUAAGCUGACGAGUGGCGAACGGGUGAGUAAUGCAUCGGAACGUGCCCGAUCGUGGGGGAUAACGCAGCGAAAGCUGCGCUAAUACCGCAUACGAUCUGAGGAUGAAAGCGGGGGACCGUAGGGCCUCGCGCGAUCGGAGCGGCCGAUGUCAGAUUAGGUAGUUGGUGGGGUAAAGGCCCACCAAGCCGACGAUCUGUAGCUGGUCUGAGAGGACGACCAGCAACACUGGAACUGCGACCAGGCCCAGACUCCUACGGGAGGCAGCAGUGGGUAAUUUUGGACAAUGGGCGAAAGCCUGAUCCAGCAAUGCCGCGUGCAGGAAGAAGGCCUUCGGGUUGUAAACUGCUUUUGUACGGAGCGAAAAGGUCCUUUCUAAUACAGGGGGCUCAUGACGGUACCGUAAGAAUAAGCACCGGCUAACUACGUGCCAGCAGCCGCAGUAA